ACAGGUGCUGUGGUUGGUGCUGUCAUCUGUGCCCUGGUAGCCUUCAUUCUGCUUUUCAUCAUUGUUGCUCUUCUUCUUUACAAAAAAGGACUCCUUAAAAACAGGAAGAAGGAAGAUCAAGGACAAUCGGGAAAAGGGAUAACUGCAAUGCACACAACCACAACCUCUGAUGAU